rnacentral:rRNA from 1 species
UGGGGAAUUUUUGUCAAUGGGGGAAACCCUGAACAAGCAACGCCGCGUGGAGGACGAAGACCUUCGGGUUGUAAACUCCUGUCGGAGGGGACGGAAAGCGAUCGAGGCUAAUAUCCUCGGUCGUUGACGGUACCCUACGAGGAAGCCCGGCUAACUCCGUGCCAGCAGCCGCGGUAAUACGGGGGGGGCGAAGCGUUGUUCGGAAUUACUGGGCGUAAAGGGCGCGUAGGCGGGCGGGCAAGUCUCUCGUGAAAGCCCACGGCUCAACCGUGGAAUUGCGGGAGAUACUGCCUGUCUUGAGUCCGGGAGAGGAGGGUGGAAUUCCCAGUGUAGCGGUGAAAUGCGUAGAUAUUGGGAGGAACACCGGUGGCGAAGGCGGCUCUCUGGACCGGUACUGACGCUGAGGCGCGAAAGCUAGGGGAGCAAACGGGAUUAGAUACCCCGGUAGUCCUAGCCGUAAACGAUGAGCACUUGGUGUGGCGGGUAUCGACCCCGCCGUGCCGAAGCUAA